rnacentral:rRNA from 1 species
AAUUGGAGGGCAAGUCUGGUGCCAGCAGCCGCGGUAAUCCCAGCUCCAAUAGCGUAUAUUAAAGUUGUUGCAGUUAAAAAGCUCGUAGUUGAAUUUCGGGGUCAGUAGAUUGGUCGUGCCACUGGUAUGUACUGGUCUUACUGGCUCCUCCUUCCUGAUGAACCGUAAUGCCAUUAAUUUGGUGUUGCGGGGAGACUGGACUGUUACUUUGAAAAAAUUAGAGUGUUUAAAGCAGGCUAACGCUUGAAUACAUUAGCAUGGAAUAAUGAAAUAGGACGUUCGAUCUUAUUUUGUUGGUUUCUAGGAUUGACGUAAUGAUUAAUAGGGAUAGUUGGGGGCAUUAGUAUUCAAUUGUCAGAGGUGAAAUUCUUGGAUUUAUUGAAGACUAACUACUGCGAAAGCAUUUGCCAAGGAUGUUUUCAUUAAUCAAGAACGAAAGUUAGGGGAUCGAAGACGAUCAGAUACCGUCGUAGUCUUAACCAUAAACUAUGCCGACUAGGGAUCGGAUGAUGUUAAUUUUUUAAUGACUCAUUCGGCGCCUUACGGGAAACCAAAGUGU